UAGGGAAUCUUCCGCAAUUGGCGAAAGCCUGACGGAGCAACGCCGCGUGAGUGAUGAAGGUCUUCGGAUCGUAAAACUCUGUUAUUAGGGAAGAACAAAUGUGCAAGUAACUAUGCACGUCUUGACGGUACCUAAUCAGAAAGCCACGGCUAACUACGUGCCAGCAGCCGCGGUAAUACGUAGGUGGCAAGCGUUAUCCGGAAUUAUUGGGCGUAAAGCGCGCGUAGGCGGUUUUUUAAGUCUGAUGUGAAAGCCCACGGCUCAACCGUGGAGGGUCAUUGGAAACUGGAAAACUUGAGUGCAGAAGAGAAAAGUGGAAUUCCAUGUGUAGCGGUGAAAUGCGCAGAGAUAUGGGGGAACACCAGUGGCGAAGGCGACUUUCUGGUCUGUAACUGACGCUAAUGUGCGACAGCGUGGGGAUCAAACAGG
rnacentral:rRNA from 1 species